GACGAACGCUGGCGGCGUGCUUAACACAUGCAAGUCGAACGAUGACGACCGAGCUUGCUCGGUCUGAUUAGUGGCGAACGGGUGAGUAACACGUGAGCAACCUGCCCUUCACUCUGGGAUAACCGCGGGAAAUCGGGGAUAAUACCGGAUAUGAGCUCCUGUCGCAUGGCGGGUUUUGGAACGUUUUUUGGUGAAGGAUGGGAUCGCGGCCUAUCAGUUUGUUGGUGAGGUAGUGGAUCACCAAGGCGAUGAGGGGUAGCCGGCCUGAGAGGGCGACCGGCCACCCUGGGACGGAGACACGGCCCAGACUCCUACGGGAGGCAGCAGUGGGGAAUAUUGCACAAUGGGCGAAAGCCUGAUGCAGCGACGCCGCGUGAGGGACGACGGCCUUCGGGUUGUAAACCUCUUUCAGCAGGGAAGAAGCGAAAGUGACGGUACCUGCAGAAGAAGCGCCGGCUAACUACGUG
rnacentral:rRNA from 1 species